GGGAGCGGAUGUGUCCCGGUGGAUGCCCCGGUCUUCAAAACCGGUGAUCGGCUGCGCCGAGCAGGCGAUGGUGGGUUCGACUCCCAUGCGCUCCCGA
rnacentral:tRNA from 1 species